rnacentral:misc_RNA from 1 species
GAUGAAGAACGCAGCAAAAUGCGAUAAGUAAUGUGAAUUGCAGAAUUCAGUGAAUCAUCGAAUCUUUGAACGCACAUUGCGCCCGCUGGUAUUCCGGCGGGCAUGCCUGUUCGAGCGUCAUUUCAACCCUCAAGCCCCCGGGUUUGGUGUUGGGGAUCGGCUCUGCCCUUCUGGUCGGUGCCGCCCCCGAAAUACAUUGGCGGUCUCGCUGCAGCCUCCAUUGCGUAGUAGCUAACACCUCGCAACUGGAACGCGGCGCGGCCAUGCCGUAAAACCCCAACUUCUGAAUGUUGACCUCGGAUCAGGUAGGAAUACCCGCUGAACUUAAGCAUAUCAAUAAGCGGAGGA